rnacentral:rRNA from 1 species
GACGAACGCUGGCGGCAUGCCUAAUACAUGCAAGUCGAGCGGUAAGGCCCUUUCGGGGGUACACGAGCGGCGAACGGGUGAGUAACACGUGGGUGACCUGCCCUCAGCUCUGGGAUAAGCCUGGGAAACCGGGUCUAAUACUGGAUAUGACUCCAUGACGCAUGUUGUGGGGUGGAAAGCCUUGUGCGGCUGAGGAUGGGCCCGCGGCCUAUCAGCUUGUUGGUGGGGUGAUGGCCUACCAAGGCGA